GAUGAACGCUGGCGGCGUGCCUAAUACAUGCAAGUCGAGCGUACAGCUGAGGAGCUUGCUCCUCUGACGUUAGCGGCGGCCGGGUGAGUUACCCGUGGGUUACCUAUCUCAAAGACUGGCGUCACCUCGGGAAACCGGAGCUAAAUCCGGCUAAUAUAUUGAACCGCAUGGUUCAAUCGUCAAAGGCGUAUUUGCUGUGUGUUGUAGAUGCCUCCCAACCCGAUUAGCCAGGUCGUAAGGUAAAGGCUUACCAGGGACACGGUGCGUAGCCGACCUGAGAGGGUGGUCGGGCACACGGGAACUGAGACACGUCCCAGACUCCUACGGUGAGCAGCAGUAGGGAAUCUUCCGCGAGGGGCGAGAGCUGGACGGAGCAACGCCGCGUGAGUGAUGAAGGUCUUCGGAUCGUAGAACGCUGUUAGUAGUGAAGAACAAAUGUGUAAGUAACUAUGCACGUCUUGACGGUACCUAAUCAGAAAGCCACGGCUAACUACGUG
rnacentral:rRNA from 1 species